UUAGAGUUUCUUUCUGGCUCAGGAUGAACGCUAGCGGCAGGCUUAACACAUGCAAGUCGAGGGGCAGCGAGAUCAGUGCUUGCACUGAUUGUCGGCGACCGGCGCACGGGUGCGUAACGCGUAUGCAACCUACCCAUUACAGGGGGAUAACACUGAGAAAUCGGUACUAAUACCCCAUAACAUCCAGGGAGGCAUCUUCUUGGGUUGAAAACUCCGGUGGUAAUGGAUGGGCAUGCGUUGUAUUAGUUAGUUGGUGGGGUAACGGCUCACCAAGACAACGAUACAUAGGGGGACUGAGAGGUUAACCCCCCACAUUGGUACUGAGACACGGACCAAACUCCUACGGGAGGCAGCAGUGAGGAAUAUUGGUCAAUGGACGCAAGUCUGAACCAGCCAUGCCGCGUGCAGGAAGACGGCUCUAUGAGUUGUAAACUGCUUUUGUACGAGGGUAAACGCAGAUACGCGUAUCUGUCUGAAAGUAUCGUACGAAUAAGGAUCGGCUAACUCCGUGCCAGCAGCCGCGGUAAUACGGAGGAUUCAAGCGUUAUCCGGAUUUAUUGGGUUUAAAGGGUGCGUAGGCGGUCGGAUAAGUUAGAGGUGAAAUCCCGGGGCUCAACUUCGGAAUUGCCUCUGAUACUGUUCGGCUAGAGAGUAGUUGCGGUAGGCGGAAUGUAUGGUGUAGCGGUGAAAUGCUUAGAGAUCAUACAGAACACCGAUCGCGAAGGCAGCUUACCAAGCUACUUCUGACGUUGAGGCACGAAAGCGUGGGGAGCAAACAGGAUUAGAUACCCUGGUAGUCCACGCAGUAAACGAUGAUAACUCGUUGUCGGCGAUACAGUGUCGGUGACUAAGCGAAAGCGAUAAGUUAUCCACCUGGGGAGUACGUUCGCAAGAAUGAAACUCAAAGGAAUUGACGGGGGCCCGCACAAGCGGAGGAACAUGUGGUUUAAUUCGAUGAUACGCGAGGAACCUUACCCGGGCUUGAAAGUUAGUGACGGAUCUUGAAAGAGGUCUUCCCUUCGGGGCACGAAACUAGGUGCUGCAUGGUUGUCGUCAGCUCGUGCCGUGAGGUGUCGGGUUAAGUCCCAUAACGAGCGCAACCCCUACCGUUAGUUGCCAGCAGGUCAAGCUGGGCACUCUGACGGGACUGCCGGUGUAAGCCGAGAGGAAGGUGGGGAUGACGUCAAAUCAGCACGGCCCUUACGUCCGGGGCUACACACGUGUUACAAUGGCAGGUACAGAGGGCAGCUACCCAGCGAUGGGAUGCGAAUCUCGAAAGCCUGUCUCAGUUCGGAUUGGAGGCUGAAACCCGCCUCCAUGAAGUUGGAUUCGCUAGUAAUCGCGCAUCAGCCAUGGCGCGGUGAAUACGUUCCCGGGCCUUGCACUCACCGCCCGUCAAG
rnacentral:rRNA from 1 species